rnacentral:rRNA from 1 species
GACGAACGCUGGCGGCGUGCCUAAUACAUGCAGGUCGAGCGCAGGAAACUGACAGAACUCUUCGGAGGGAAGGCAGCGGAAUGAGCGGCGGACGGGUGAGUAACACGUAAGGAACCUGCCUCAAGGAUUGGGAUAACUCCGAGAAAUCGGAGCUAAUACCGGAUAGUUCACCGGACCGCAUGGUCCGUUGAUGAAAGGCGCUUCGGCGUCACCUUGAGAUGGCCUUGCGGUGCAUUAGCUAGUUGGUGGGGUAACGGCCCACCAAGGCGACGAGGCAUAGCCGACCUGAGAGGGGGAUCGGCCAGACUGGGACUGAGACACGGACCAGACUCCUACGGGAGGCAGCAGUAGGGAAUCUUCCACAAUGGACGAAAGUCUGAUGGAGCAACGCCGCGUGAGUGAUGAAGGUUUCGGAUCGUAAAACUCUGUUGUAAGGGAAGAACACGUACGAGAGGAAAUGCUCGUACCUUGACGGUACCUUACGAGAAAGCCACGGCUAACUACGUGCCAGCCGCCGCGGUAA